CAGAGACGGUGCCAGAACUGGGACCAGACCUGGCUGUCAGGCCAUGGUGGAAGACACCUGGCUGAUUGGCCAACAGCAGAUACUGAAACACCCUCCGGGUGGGAGAAGUCAACAGUUAACAAUGGAAGAAGGCAGCAUGACAAGAGCCCUCAGCUCAGCAUCAUAAACACAACGGACAUGGAGAUCUUCUCUGUGACUGAUUCCCACGUGAGC